rnacentral:rRNA from 1 species
AAGUCGAACGCUGAAGCUCCAGCUUGCUGGGGUGGAUGAGUGGCGAACGGGUGAGUAAUACGUGAGUAACCUGCCCUUGACUCUGGGAUAAGCCUGGGAAACCGGGUCUAAUACUGGAUACGACGUCCUGCCGCAUGGUGGGGCGUGGAAAGGGUUUUACUGGUUUUGGAUGGGCUCACGGCCUAUCAGCUUGUUGGUGGGGUAAUGGCCUACCAAGGCGACAACGGGUAGCCGGCCUGAGAGGGUGACCGGCCACACUGGGACUGAGACACGGCCCAAACUCCUACGGGAGGCAGCAGUGGGGAAUAUUGCACAAUGGGCGCAAGCCUGAUGCAGCGACGCCGCGUGAGGGAUGACGGCCUUCGGGUUGUAAACCUCUUUCAGCAGGGAAGAAGCCACAAGUGACGGUACCUGCAGAAGAAGCGCCGGCUAACUACGUGCCAGCAGCCGCGGUAAUACGUAGGGCGCAAGCGUUGUCCGGAAUUAUUGGGCGUAAAGAGCUCGUAGGCGGUUUGUCGCGUCUGCUGUGAAAGCCCGGGGCUCAACCCCGGGUCUGCAGUGGGUACGGGCAGACUAGAGUGCAGUAGGGGAGACUGGAAUUCCUGGUGUAGCGGUGAAAUGCGCAGAUAUCAGGAGGAACACCGAUGGCGAAGGCAGGUCUCUGGGCUGUUACUGACGCUGAGGAGCGAAAGCAUGGGGAGCGAACAGGAUUAGAUACCCUGGUAGUCCAUGCCGUAAACGUUGGGCACUAGGUGUGGGGGACAUUCCACGUUCUCCGCGCCGUAACUAACGCAUUAAGUGCCCCGCCUGGGGAGUAC